CUGCAACCUCCACCUCCCGGGUUCAAAUGAUUCUCCUGCCUCAGCCUCCCAAGUAGCUAGGAUUACAGGUGCCCGCCACCACACCUGGCUAAUUUUUUGUGUUUUUAGUGGAGACAGGGUUUCACCGUGUUAGCCAGGAUGGUCUUGAUCUUCUGACCUUGCGAUCUGCCUGCCUCAGCCUCCCAAAGUGCUGGGAUUACAGACAUGGGCCACUGCGCCUGGCCACUCUAUUUUAAUGGCAGAAAUAACAAACAAGGGUGGCAGAACUACAAAAGAAUACUUUAGGAAUAUUUACUUUAAAAUAGUGAAACAUUUUCAGGCCUUUCUAAGUAACUAGCUGUCUUCAAAUAGCUCAUUCAUCAAGGCUUGCACACAGAUAGUCUUCUAACCCUAGGAUAAGUGAAGCCCACACAUAGUGGGCAUGAAUUGUUAAAUGGGGAAGUGUUGAGGAGCUAUUGCCAAGGGGAGUUGGAUAGUGUCACCCAGAAAAUAACAAUGAAGUCAAUAUCUCCUGCACAUUGCGGUAGACUUUCCAGGUACUUUGGAUGAACUACUAGAAUUUGUUCUCCUCUUGUCCCAAAGUCAGUGUACAUGACCUCUCUGAUAUAAAAGCAGAGCAAAAAUCACACAGAAAGAAAGAAGCCCACUUAAGAGAGUGGGAGCUACAGCUGGCAUGUUACAGGAAGCACCUUGAAAGUGAACAAAGCUCUGAUAGAUAAUAGCAGUAGUUACGGCUGUGAAAGUAUAAUCAGUCCUAUCACCCCCCACCACCCAGAGUCAGAAGAGUUUACUGAUGCUCUUGGGGGACAGGAAAGGCCCCCAGGAGCAGGGAGGCUGAGGUGGUCAGUAGUUGCAUAAGCCCUGGCACGUAAGGGCAAGUUAGGGAACAUUCAUCUUAGGAUUCUGUGGCUCCUUCCUUGCAAAGGGGAGAGAGCAUCUCAAGGUGGGAGACAACCCCAAGAGCAGUGACGGCAGAGAGAGAGACGGCUGAGAGCCCCCAGCCUGAAAGAAGGCAUUGUAAUAGGCAGCAGCGCCUGUACAGAAUGGUCGGUAGGGGAAAAUGGGGAGGCGGCAGUGGUUGGCCCCUUGAAAAAGGGUCCAGCCUUGGCCUGGGUGUGCUCAUGAGAACACCUGGGGUUCCCCAGAAGCGUGGAGCAGGGCCCAAAGCUCCUUUCCCUGCAGGCUUCUUUAAGGAGAAAAAGGCAUUCAGGGAGCACUCUGGCAAGGUGUGCCAGAAUUAGUCUUGAAGGCACAGCUAGAGCAGACAGGGCACCAAGGCACCAUUAGUAGAGGAGGGGCAGCCUCUGAUUGAUUAUACAUGAAACAAAUGCCCCUUUAACCUCAUGGGGAUUCUUGGAACUUGGGAUGUACCUGUCAUCUCUUUUUCUUUCUCUUUUAAUAAAGUUGAGUUGAAAAACAAACCAAAUUUAGUUAUUAUUGUAUAACAGUAGCUUUCUUUUCUUUUCUUUUCUUUUCUUUUCUUUUUUUGAGAUGGAGUCUCACUCUGUCACCCAGGCUGGAGUGCAGUGGCACGAUCUCACCUCACUGCAACCUCUGCCUUCCAGGUUCAAGCGAUUCUCUUGCCUCAGCCUACCGAGUAGCUGGGACUACAGGCGUCUGCCACCACGCCCGGCUAAUUUUUGUAUUUUUUUUUUCAGUAGAGAUGGGGUUUCACCAUGUUGGCCGGGCUGGUCUUUAACUCCUGACCUCAAGUGAUCUGCCUGCCUUGGCCUCCCAAAGUGCUGGGAUUACAGGCAUGAGCCACCUCUCCCAGCCGAUCAGUGACUUUUGAACUCUAGCUUGCAGCCGAAUCAUCUGGAGGGCACACACAUUGCUAAGCUCCACUCCCAGUUUCUGAUUUCAUAGUUAUAGAAUGGGCUUGAAAAUUUGUAUUUUUAAUGAGUUCCUUGGAGCUGCUGAUGCUGCUGGUCAGGGAAUACAUAAGAACCACUAGCAUAGAAAGUUUUCUGGACCAUGGAAUCCUUAGCUGAAAGAUUCUGUAGACCAGAUUAUAAUACAAGAUAAGCAGCCCCUACCAUAAAAUAGUAUCCUAACAAGGUACAUUCCUGGCUAGGGCCUUGGGGUAGUUUGCUAGGGCUGUUGUAACAAAGUACCACGGACUGGAUGGCUUAAACAACAGAAAUUAAUUUUCUCACAGUUCUGGAGUCUAGACAUCCAAGAUCAAAGUGUUCCGGGGCUGGUUUCUUCUAAGGCCUGUCUUGGCUCUGAAGAUGGCCAUCUUCUCCCUGAGUCUGCACAUGGUCUUCCCUCUGUACCUCUCUGUGUCCAAAUUUCCUCUUCUUCCUCUCUCUCUCUUUUUUUUUUUUUUUUUGAGACAAUGUAUCAUUUUGUUGCCCAGGCUGGAGGGCAGUGGCACAAUCAUAGCUCACAGCAGCCUUGAACUCCGGAGCUCAAGCUGUCCUCCCAUGUAGCUGGAACUAUAGGCUCACACUGCCACACCAUUUUUUCUAGAGGCCAGGAGCAGUGGCGCAUGCCUGUAGUCCCAGCUACUCGGGAGGCUGAGCUAGGAGGAUCACUGGAGCCCAGGAGUUCUGGGCUGUACUGUGCUAUGUCGAUCAGGCGUCCACACUAAGUUUGACAUCAAUAUGGUGACCUCCUGGGAGCAGGAGACCACCAGGUUCACCUGGGGUGAACUAGCCCAGGUCGAAAAUGGAGCAGGUCAAAACUCCUGUGCUGAUUAGUAGUGGGAUUGUGCCUGUGAACAGCCACUGCACUCCAGCCUGGGCAAUAUAGCAAGACCUCAUCUCUAAAACAAAACGUUCUAUACUUUUCAAAUAAAAAAUAAAAAAAUAUAUUUCUAGAGAUGGGGCCUUGUUAUGUUGCUCAGGCUGGCCAUGAACUCCUGGUCUCAGGUGAUCCUCUCACCUCAGCCUCCCAAAGUGCUGGGAUUACAGGCAUGAGACACCACACCUGGUCAACACUUGAUAUUUUUCCAGUGCUUGGCAUUUGACAACCAUUAUCCCAGGGCACCUCAUUCCUGGUAUUAAGAUGGCAGACUAAGAAUUAUCAAUUUGAAGAUGAUGUGUUGAACAUAGAAUCAGAAUAAAUAGAAUUAAUAAUCUUAUGGAAACUGUGCCACUGUUUCUGAUCCCUAAAUCCAGAUGUAUCAUCUCAUGCCUAAUUUAACAUGUUUUGAAAACAUGGCAGAAUGUUUUAAAUUAGAACUCCGCAAGAAUAUCCUAUCCUGGAAUGUGAUUGUUGUACAAAAGGGAAUCAUUUACUUGUUUAUUCUUUUUUUUUUUUUUUUUUGAGAUGGAGUUUCGCUUUUAUUGCCCAAGAUGGAGUGCAAUGGCACUAUCUCAGCUCACCGCAACCUCUGCCUCCUGAGUUCAAGUGAUUCUCCUGUCUCAGCCUGCCGAAUAGCUGGGAUUACAGAUGUGCGCUGACACGCCUGACUAAUUUUGUAUUUUUAGUAGAGAUGGGGUUUCUCCAUGUUGGUCAGGCUGGUCUCGAACUCCCAACCUCAGGUGAUCCACCCGCCUUGGCCUCCCAAAGUGCUGAGAUUACAGGCAUUAGCCACCAUGCCCAGCCACUUGUUUAUUCUUUAAUAAAUAUUCUGUUGAACAUCUACUUCAUGCCAGAGAUGGAGCUAGGUGCUGUGGUACAAUAAAUAAGGACUAGGCAGGAUUAUGUAGUGAUUAAAACACAUUCUGGGGGUCGGGCUUGGUGUCUCAUGCCUGUAAUAUCAACAUUUUGGGAGGCUGUGUGGGGAGGACCACUGGAGGCCAGGAGUUCGAGACAAGCCUGGGCAACAUAGUGAGACCCCAUCUCGAUUGACUUUUUUUUUUUUUUUGAGAUGGAGUCUUGCUCAGCUGCCCAGGCUGGAGUGCAGUGGUGUGAUCUCGGCUCACUGCAGUCACUGUUUCCCCGGUUCAAGCAAUUCUCCCAUCUCAGCCUCCAAGUAGCUGGGAUUACAGGCACCGCCAUCAUGCCUGGCUAAUUAUUUUUUUUGUAUUUUAGUAGAGACAGGGUUUCACCGUGUUGGCCAGACUCAUCCUGAACUCCCGACCUCUGGUAAUCUGCCCAGCUUAGCCUCCCAAAGUGCUAGGAUUACAGGUCUAAGCCACUGCACCCGGCCCUCUAUUGAAAAUUUUUAAACAUUGAAAAGAAGAAGAAGAAAAAAAACACAUUCUGGAGCCAAAUUGCCUGAAUUCAAAUUCCAACUCUACCAUUUACUAGCUUGACAGUUGGUUAACCACUGUCAAGUUGUGCCUCAGUUUCCUCAUCUGUAAAAUGGGAAUAAUAAUUGCACCUUUCUGAUAAAGGUCAUAUGAGAAUUAAAUGAGUCAACAUUUGUAAGAAAGCACAGCCAAAUGAUAUUUAACAAAAUUGACAAGAACGUACAUUGAGGAAAGGACAUCCUUUUCAAUAAAUGGUGCUGGGAAAAUUGGAUUGCCGUAUGCAGAAGAAUGAAACUGGACCCCUAUUUCUCACCAUAUACAAAAAUGAAUUCAAGAUGAAUUACAAGACUUACAUGUACCUGAAACUAUAAAAAUACUAAAAGAAAACCUAGGUAAAACUCUUCUGGACGUUGGUCUAGGCAAAAAUUUUAUGACUAAGACCUCAAACAUACAGGCCACAAAACUAAAAUAGGCAAAUGGGACUUAAUUAAACUAAAAAGCUUCUGCACAACAAAAGAAAUAAUCAAAUAAUCAACAGAGUAAACAGACAACCUGCCAGAUGGGAAAAAAAUUUUGCAAACUAUGCAUCCGACAGGGGACUAAUAGCCAGAAUCUACAAGGAACUCAAACAACUCGACAAUGAAAAACAUAUAACCCCACUGAAAAAGUGGGCAAAGUCCGGGUGCGGUGGCUCAGGCCUGUAAUCC
rnacentral:lncRNA from 10 species